rnacentral:misc_RNA from 1 species
UCAAACUUGGUCAUUUAGAGGAAGUAAAAGUCGUAACAAGGUUUCCGUAGGUGAACCUGCGGAAGGAUCAUUAACGAGCAUGAAUUGCACGAUUAGAGUUGAGCUGGUUAACCUAGUUAACAAGUGCUCAUUCUAAUCGACAAAUCCACUCAUUACUUAACACCUGUGAACUUAUCUAUUAUAAACAUUAUAAUAUGUCAUUGGAACGUUUGAUUAUAAUAAGUUAAUACAACUUUCAACAACGGAUCUCUUGGCUCUCGCAUCGAUGAAGAACGCAGC